rnacentral:rRNA from 1 species
UACGUAGGGUGCGAGCGUUGUCCGGAAUUAUUGGGCGUAAAGAGCUCGUAGGCGGCUUGCCGCGUCGACUGUGAAAGCCCGGGGCUUAACUCCGGGUCUGCAGUCGAUACGGGUAGGCUUGAGGGCAGCAGGGGAGACUGGAAUUCCUGGUGUAGCGGUGAAAUGCGCAGAUAUCAGGAGGAACACCGGUGGCGAAGGCGGGUCUCUGGGCUGUACCUGACGCUGAGGAGCGAAAGCGUGGGGAGCGAACAGG